CAACAAACAAACAACAAC
rnacentral:snRNA from 1 species